GAUGAUCCCUGAAGACAUGAGAAGAGCAAGGAAGUAAGUAACUCCACUUUGACGGGAGAUUUUGAGUAAGGUCUUCAGGAUAAGCGGAGGGGGAGUAUGGUGCGGUGCUGGUGGAGAAUGUUUCGGGUUGACGUUUUCUUUCUCUAUCGUAUGUCUGUUUUGUCGAUAGAGUUUUGAUAUGAAGUUAUGUUAAAUACAGUUUGAUGUUUAAGAUACUUAAUUUCCUUUGAAAAUCAAGCAAUACACUCACGGUUAUAUGUCUUCAUACAUAUAAUCGAUUCGCCUUUUGCUGCGAUACUCUGCAUAUUAUUCUUCAUUAUGAAAAAUGAGCUAUACCCGUUUUGUUUU